GAUGAACGCUGGCGGCGUGCCUAAUACAUGCAAGUCGAGCGAACAGACGAGGAGCUUGCUCCUCUGACGUUAGCGGCGGACGGGUGAGUAACACGUGGAUAACCUACCUAUCAGACUGGGAUAACUUCGGGAAACCGGAGCUAAUACCGGAUAAUAUAUUGAACCGCAUGGUUCAAUAGUGAAAGACGGUUUUGCUGUCACUUAUAGAUGGAUCCGCGCCGCAUUAGCUAGUUGGUAAGGUAACGGCUUACCAAGGCAACGAUGCGUAGCCGACCUGAGAGGGUGAUAGGCCACACUGGAACUGAGACACGGUCCAGACUCCUACGGGAGGCAGCAGUAGGGAAUCUUCCGCAAUGGGCGAAAGCCUGACGGAGCAACGCCGCGUGAGUGAUGAAGGUCUUCGGAGCGUAAAACUCUGUUAUGAGGGAAGAACAAAUGUGUAAGUAACUAUGCACGUCUUGACGGUACCUAAUCAGAAAGCCACGGCUAACUACGUG
rnacentral:rRNA from 1 species